AUGGCGGCCGCGCCUCCCCAGCCCGCCGCGCCCGCCCCCGGCCCCGCGAACGGCGGCGACGCGUUCCGCCUGGGCUUCGUCGGCGCGGGGAACCUGGCCGAGAGCAUCGCGCGCGGCGUCGCGGCGUCGGGCGUCCUCCCGGCCUCCGCCGUCCGCACCGCUCCCCACCGCCGCCCCGAGCGCGGCGCCGCCUUCGCCUCCCUCGGCGCCACCAUCCUCGCCUCCAACGCCCAGGUUGUGGACGGCAGCGAUGUGAUCGUCAUCUCCGUCAAGCCCCAGAUUGUGAAGCAGGUUCUGGUUGAGCUCAAGCCCUUGCUGUCUGAAGAAAAGCUUCUGGUCUCCAUCGCUGCUGGCAUCAAAAUGAAAGAUUUGCAGGAUUGGUCUGGUCAGCGCAGAAUUAUUAGAGUAAUGCCAAACACCCCCUCUGCUGUCGGACAAGCAGCAUCAGUGAUGUGUCUGGGAGAGACAGCUACUGAGAAGGAUGAAAACCGUGUCAAAAGCUUAUUUAGUGCCAUUGGAAAAGUUUGGACAGCUGAAGAAAAAUAUUUUGAUGCGGUUACUGGCUUGAGUGGUAGUGGUCCGGCCUACAUUUUCUUGGCAAUAGAGGCCAUGGCUGAUGGUGGAGUUGCUGCUGGGCUUCCUCGGGAUCUUGCUCUUGGUCUUGCAGCUCAGACAGUGCUAGGUGCUGCAACCAUGGUUAGCGAGACGGGUAAACAUCCAGGGCAGCUGAAGGAUCAGGUCACUUCCCCUGCAGGAACUACCAUAGCUGGUGUUCAUGAGCUCGAGAAGGGUUCGUUUCGCGGCACACUGAUAAAUGCCGUUGUUGCUGCCACAACAAGAUGCCGAGAGCUCUCGAAAAAUUAG
rnacentral:rRNA from 1 species